rnacentral:rRNA from 1 species
UGGGGAAUAUUGGACAAUGGGCGCAAGCCUGAUCCAGCCAUGCCGCGUGAGUGAUGAAGGCCUUAGGGUUGUAAAGCUCUUUCAGUAGGGAAGAUAAUGACGGUACCUACAGAAGAAGCCCCGGCUAACUUCGUGCCAGCAGCCGCGGUAAUACGAAGGGGGCUAGCGUUGUUCGGAUUUACUGGGCGUAAAGCGCACGUAGGCGGGUCGUUAAGUCAGGGGUGAAAUCCUGGAGCUCAACUCCAGAACUGCCUUUGAUACUGGCGACCUAGAGUCCGGAAGAGGUGAGUGGAACUCCUAGUGUAGAGGUGGAAUUCGUAGAUAUUAGGAAGAACACCAGUGGCGAAGGCGGCUCACUGGUCCGGUACUGACGCUGAGGUGCGAAAGCGUGGGGAGCAAACAGG